ACAUUGAUUAUGCAGUGCCACGGAUGUC
rnacentral:sRNA from 1 species